rnacentral:rRNA from 1 species
GUAACACGUAGGUGAUCUACCCCAGAGACGGGGAUAACGGGUGGAAACAUCCGCUAAUACCGGAUAGACUUGUUCGGUCAAAGGGACAAGGAAAGGCUCCGGCGCUCUGGGAGGAGCCUGCGGCCCAUCAGCUAGUUGGCGGGGUAACGGCCCACCAAGGCAAAGACGGGUAGGGGGUGUGAGAGCAUGGCCCCCCACAAUGGGACUGGAACACGGCCCAUACUCCUACGGGAGGCAGCAGCAGGGAAUAUUGCACAAUGGACGGAAGUCUGAUGCAGCGACGCCGCGUGGAUGAAGAAGGCCCUCGGGUUGUAAAAUCCUUUACAGGGGGAAGAGGAAGGACGGUACCCCUGGAACAAGUGUCGGCUAACUACGUGCCAGCAGCCGCGGUAAGACGUAGGACACAAGCGUUAUCCGGAUUUACUGGGCGUAAAGCGUCUGCAGGCGGACAGGUAAGUUGGGCGUGAAAGCUCCGGGCCCAACCCGGAGAGGUCGUUCAAUACUGCGUGUCUAGAGGGUGUCAGAGGGGAGUGGAAUUUCCGGAGUAGCGGUAAAAUGCGCAGAGAUCGGAAAGAACACCAAUGGCGAAGGCAGCUCCCUGGGGCAACCCUGACGCUAAGAGACGAAAGCUAGGGGAGCGAACAGGAUUAGAGACCCUGGUAGUCCUAGCCCUAAACGAUGGAUGCUGGAUGUGGGGCCAUAGCGCUCCGUGUCGAAGCGAACGCGUUAAGCAUCCCGCCUGGGGACUACGGCCGCAAGGUUAAAACUCAAACGAAUUGACGGGACCCCGCACAAGCAGCGGAGCGUGUGGUUUAAUUCGAUGCUACACGAAGAACCUUACCUGGGUUUGACAUCUAGGUGGUAGUGAAGCGAAAGCGGAGCGACCCUUCGGGGAGCCUAGACAGGUGCUGCAUGGCUGUCGUCAGCUCGUGCCGUGAGGUGUCGGGUUAAGUCCAGUAACGAGCGCAACCCUUGCCCUCCGUUAUACGUGUCAGAGGGAACUCCCGGUGGUAAACUGGAGGAAGGUGGGGACG